UGUUUCAAUUAUUAACUUAUAAUUUGAUGCCCAUUUAUGUUUGAGAGAGUGUGAAUGUAAUUUAUAUAAUAGUAAUAUGUGGCACUAGUUAACAUUUCAAUUUGAUAUUUGAAACCUAUUUGUUAUUUAUGUGGCAUGAAUGCUAUUUGGGCUUUCUAAUUGGGUUGAGCCCAAUAGAAUGGCUCAAACCAUAUUAGAAUUUAGAAACAAACCAAACCAUACCAUUACGGUUUGGUCUGGUGUGGCUUCUAUACUAAAACAGUUUGAUUUUGUUUGAGAAUAUAUUUUUUUUUUGAUUUCUUUUGAAGGGCUACACAAUGGGGGUAGCCCAUCCCCCAACCCAUAAUCCCCCUCACAACCCAGGUGCAUGUGGGAUUUGAUCCCAAGUCUCCGCUACGACCAGCAGGAGACGUUACCAACCAGCUGGUUGGUACCUUGCGUUGGUUUGAGAAUUUUUCAAACCAUAAUUUAUUGGUUUGGUCUGAAAUCUUCUCCAAACUGAACCAAACCAGACCGUGAACACCCCUAACUUUUGUGCCUUGCCUUGUGCCUUGGGUGCAAAUUGCCCCUUGUGCUUUUAAAUCACUGGACAAUACUCCAUCUUCAACAGAAUCUUUCAAAUAACAAAUGCUACAAUGACAAGACCUUUCUGUCAGAGUUCAACCACAAAAUUACAUUAUAAACAAGAAUUUUUUCCAAUUGCAUAAUACUACAAGAAAAGGGAAUUUUAGCUACUGCCAUUUAGCCAUGGACAGAAAACUGUAGCUACAAGACAGGCUAUUGAUACAGGUGUAAAAUGCCUGUAGCUAAAUUUAAUUACCUUAAUCAUGAUGGGUUGCCUCAUUGCAGGGGUAAGGCUGUGUGCAUAUGUCCCUCUCCAGAUCCCACGUUGGCGGGAGCCUUGUGCACUGGGCUGCCCUUUUAUGUUUUAGAUAUGGACGCCAUAUCCAUGGCUAUAUGUUUGAUUCUAACCAGUCUUUAUAUGCAUGUAGUAAUAGAUCACACAUAUAAACCUACUAUUAUAUGGUAAAUUGAUAUUGCCAUGACCAAUCUUUAAUUGGCUAUAGCAGUAGCUUGUGUAAAUUUGGGUUGCGGUGACUAAACCCUAUGUAAGCUCUCUCCUGAAAAUGAAAACAUAUUUGAUUGUUGAACUAUCAUCCACUCCCUGAGUAUUUUAUCCUCCUACUGAUAAGGUAAGAGAUUAUGCAUGGGUUUACUGAAAACCCUCAUUCCUGCUCAUUGCUUUCCUUCUUAUUCUUUACAGUUGAAGGCCAUUCAAUGAAAAACCCAAUUUGACUCUUAAUCAACUCCUUAAAUGCCUUGCUCUUCAGAUAAGAACCAACAAAUAAUAGAAACAACAAGAAGAAUGUCUUGUUCUGUUUCAGUUGUGAACUCUCCUGUAUUCUUGCAAUCUAGGGUUUUAUACCUUUUCUGCAAGAAAACAGAUUUGUAGAUGGCAAAGAAAGAGAUCUACCAGGCUUGAUAUUUCUGGUUACUACAUUGAGUUUUGCCACGACAAGUCUUCUGUGGCACUUGAUGGGUGGAAAGAGUUAGAGAUUGGAAAGAUUAAUUCUCUGUUUAUUGUAAGAAAGGGAGGAAGGAGGUCAUGGAGGACUGAUAGUGGUUGUUAACCUUCAAGGAGAUUCAAAACAGGUAGACUCAAAAUUAUCUUUUAGUUUUAAAAAUCUUUUGAAUAUUGAUCUUGUUAGAAUUAGAUUGGUAAUGUUUACCAAAAAAAUAAAAUGGUUGGUAACGAAAGUUGCUGUAUGAAGUGAUUUUCCUUUUUGUCAUAUAAGUUAAAAAAGUUGCAAGAGUGCCCUUAUUCUUUUCAUUCUUGGCAAUGACCACAACAGUGAUCUGAAUUUUCUCCUCACAGCACUUGCAGCUGCACAUUGGGAACAUCUCCUAUACUUGUAUGUUGUCAAGCAUGGGGAGAUAUUCCCAAUGCACGACUGCAACAUGAUGCAAGGUUGGUGUGAGGAACAAAUCCGAAUUCCAACAAUGAAGGUAUGCAGUUGCAUCUCUCUCUCUAUCUCUCCUUCCCAGUUUUCUUGAAGCUUGGUUUUUUUGUCUUUCUACCAUUGCCCCCCCACCCCCCCAAAUCAGGAACCUCACCAGCAACUUGAUAUAGGGAAGACUAAACUGGCAACCAGGUAGUAACACUCUUGUUUCCUUGGCUUUGAUUUGUAUAGACAUUAGACCUGUUCACGGGCCAGGCUUUGGGCCUGACUUUACACUGCAUCAGGCAAGGGCUUCAGGCUGGGCCCAUUCAAAUUUUGGCAAAAGCCAAGCCCAAGCCCGGCCCAUGAACAGGUCUGAUAGACAUUAUCACAUCAGUACACACAUUGGUAAAAGCAAUAUCUACAUUUUGGGUUUGUGAUCUUCUAGGAUGAUGGUUCUGAUACUAGUGCUGAUAUUGUUACAACUUUCUGUCUUUAUCCUUUAAUUUCAGAUUUUCAUUGUUUCUACUUUCAGAGCCUGAUGAAAUAGGUAACUCUGUAUCCAUAUUCUCUUUCCUUUGAUCUUUUAUAAUCGAUACAGUAGCAUCAUCUAGUACCUUUGCUGUAUCAGUAGCAUCAAUGCUAUCUCUUUUAUCCCUUUACUGGUUCCUGCCACCAAAUUGAAAACAUCAGCUCUUCUUUCUCAUUCAAUGUGAAAAUGGGUCUGUCCUUAACAAGAUUGGACCUUCCAUUGGUCCCUUUUCAACACACUAACUAAUACUCCUUUGGAAUUUUUCACGCUUUAUAGAGGUGGUAUCAGGACAGUGUGGUACUUGAACCCUUUACUGGAAAUGUUGGUUUUGCCAUAUAAGAACCAGAAAUCCUGGCUUUGUUUUUUUGUAAACUCUUCUGUACCUUUUAACCUUUUUAUCUUUUUUUUUUUAUUUUUGGUGGGUAAAAGACUUAAACGUGUCUUCUGAUGUGAACAAAUGUAUGGUAGAUGUCUACUACCUUUUUUAUGUUGUUUGUCAAAGUAAUUAUUUACUUUGGAUUUAAUUAGCAUGUCUUUGUAGAAAGCUUGUUCUCACACACCAUAUUGAAUUUUCUUAUUUGCAGGCAUAUAAAUGCAGGUAUUAAAUCUAACAAAGUCUUGCGUUGACAUUUUCCUUUUCUUACUAUUUAUAGGAUAGCGAUUGACCAUUUUCAAUGGCUUGUCCAACAAUUUCCAAACUUCUGAAAUUCCUCUCCACAAUUACUCCCUAUGAUAGUACUUUCUUUGAUUGAGGGGCUAGGCAAAUGCAAGAACUUGGAUGGGAGAGUAAAUGCACAUAGUCAAUUGGCUUACCAGCAAUAAGGUAUUGUGGGUCAUUCUGAAAUAUUUUCCUGCCCAACUGGUACAUAUUAUUUUGGUUGGAAUAUAUGUAAAGAUUUUUUAUCGGCAAUAUUUCUUGGUUCUAAUACCUUUACCUCGUGGAUGUGAUUCUGAGUUUGAAUGUUGGCUCUAAAUGGAUAAACAUUAUCAUCUCA